GCCGAGCGCAUCCUAGCCCCGGCGGGGCGGUGUGGGACCCGCUCGGGGCGGGCCCGGCGACGCCGGCCGGGCGGUCGCUGAGGUUGAGGGGCCUUCGCCCUCCGGCUAGAGCUGGGGCGGCACGAAGCGUCCGGAGCCUGGGGCGGGGGGGGCCCACGGCGCUCGGGAGCUCCCCCGAAGUAGAAGACUGGCGUAGGCCGGGGGCGAGAGAGGGCCUAACGUCCCCGCAGCCGGAAUCGCACCUCGGGCCCAAAAAGCGCCUUCCCGAAGCAGGGAGCCGCCAGCGAGGCAGGUGUCAGGUCGGUGUUCCCCGACGGAAAGGCGGCCCAUCACGUUCUGGGGAGCGAGCUUCAGCCCAGGCUGAGUCCAUCGGGACUGUUCAUGUAUGCCAAUAAACUGCAGAAGCAGUCAUGCUCCUGCGUAGCCCAAACGUCAGUGAGGCACUCGUGCAAACAAUGACCACAGAAGCCCCUGCUCUUCAGGUUCUUCAGAAGCUUCCUCAUCUCCAUCCUUCUGGAGACUGACAGAGAGGUCCCUGGAAGAGGUCGGUAGACUGACAAUAAUAAACACACCAAGAAUUCCAAUCGUUAUCCUUCUGGCACUUUACAGAGAAGGUGUCUAAGCACCACUGAAGCAACAUCUGGAGGAUACAGACAGGCAGAUUCCAAACUGAAAUGUUGAGAAAAAAUGAAUCAUAAUAUGGACAAAUUCACAUUCACAUCACUGGAACAGGUCUAUGUCUACAACCAGAAAGACAAUGAGUAUUUAAAGUAGGUGUAUCUGUAAGAAGUAUCCUCCACAUCAAGGGAAACCAUUUCACUGAUCAUCCCGAUAGAAGCCUCUUCAAAACCCAGCAAGCA